rnacentral:rRNA from 1 species
GUUGAUCAAACUUGGUCAUUUAGAGGAAGUAAAAGUCGUAACAAGGUUUCCGUAGGUGAACCUGCGGAAGGAUCAUUACUGAAUUGUCAACACGAGUUGUUGCUGGUCCUCAAACGGGGGCAUGUGCACGCUCUGUUUACACAUCCACUCACACCUGUGCACCCUCUGUAGUUCUGUGGCAUGGGGGACUCUGUCCUCCUGUCGUGGUUCUACGUCUUUACACACACUCUGUAACAAAGUCUCAUGGAAUGUAUGCCGCGUUUAACGCAAUACAAUACAACUUUCAGCAACGGAUCUCUUGGCUCUCGCAUCGAUGAAGAACGCAGCGAAAUGCGAUAAGUAAUGUGAAUUGCAGAAUUCAGUGAAUCAUCGAAUCUUUGAACGCACCUUGCGCCCUUUGGCUAUUCCGAAGGGCAUGCCUGUUUGAGUAUCAUGAACACCUCAACUCUCGUGGUUUGCUACGAUGAGCUUGGACUUUGGGGGUCUUGCUGGCCUGUGGUCGGCUCCUCUCAAAUGAAUCAGCUUCCCAGUGUUUGGUGGCGUCGCAGGUGUGAUAACUAUCUACGCUUGUGGUUUUCCACCAGAUAACCUUCAGUGAUGGAGGUUCGCUGGGGCUCAUAAACGUCUUUCCUCAGUGAAGACAGCUUUUUGAACGUUUGAUCUCAAAUCAGGUAGGACUACCCGCUGAACUUAAGCAUAUCAAUAAGCGGAGGAAAAGAAACUAACAAGGAUUCCCCUAGUAACUGCGAGUGAAGCGGGAAGAGCUCAAAUUUAAAAUCUGGCGUCCUCCGGCCGUCUGAGUUGUAGUCUGGAGAAGCGUUUUCCGUGUUGGACCGUGUACAAGUCCCUUGGAACAGGGCG